rnacentral:lncRNA from 1 species
ACUGAUUGCAAGAUUAACCCUCCCUUACUCUCUUUUUCUCUUUUCUUUCUUCUUUCCUUUUUACUCUCUUUUUCGGACACUCAGACACUUUUCACUCUAUCUUUUUCUCUCUGGGUACGCUCCUUUUUUUUUUGUUCUCCUUUUUCUCUCUAAACUCUCCCCUCUUUCCUUUUUUUUUCUCUCGAUAUUUGAUUCUUCCUCUCACUUUUUUUCCCUUUUUCUUUUUCUCUCACUCACUCCCCCUCCAGCGGAAGCAUUCCCAACCAAACCAUCGGCUCUGAUACCAU